GCCCAUGGCCAUCCGACCCUGGUAACGCCCGAUCUUGUCCAAUCUCGGAAGCUAAGCAGGGUCGGGCCUGGUUAGUACUUGGAUGGGAGACCUCCUGGGAAUACCGGGUGCUGUAGGCU
rnacentral:rRNA from 1 species